rnacentral:lncRNA from 1 species
AGUCGAUCCAGGACCCACCUGCUGCUCGCGACGCUCACCCUUGCUGCCGACGCCUCUACCCGCCGGUUGCCGCGCACCGCUUCGCCUGCAGACGCCGGAUCGUCCCCACUCACAGCCCGACGCCGAUCCUCUGCCUGAGCCCGAGCCCGAGCGAGGCUGCCUGCUGCUGCUCCUCACCUGCGCUUGCACCGGUCUCGUGCCGCCGCGAAGCCCCCGCACUGAGCCCCUGCCGUGUCUCUGCUCACCACCGCCUCAGCAUCCCGCCCGCACCGGACCGCGAUCACCCUUGCCUGCCACUGUAGAUCGCGACUCCAAUGCCACCGGAGCCCGAGCGCUGCCUCGCCGCCGACGACCAGCAGUCCCAGCGCUGUUCAGCCCUCGCCGGAGUCCGAACUCACGCCGGCCGACCACCUUCCUCCCCCCGUCGUCAACCCCCCUGUCUCUGUUACUCACCUUAGGUAGCUUGUCAUUAUUAUUAUUAUUAUUAUUAUUACUUUUUACUUUUACUUUUACCUUUUUUUUUUCUGUUCAUUUGUUAAUAUUUGUGAAUUUAGUAUGCAUUAUCCGCAGGGAUUUUGUCUGGAAUUAUUAUAAUUAUUAAUUUGAUCCGAG